GACGAACGCUGGCGGCGUGCUUAACACAUGCAAGUGGAGCGACGAACCGGGCUUCGGCCCGGGGCAAAGCCGCGAACGGGUGAGUAACACGUGGGUAACCUGCCCCGAUGACCGGGACAACCCGAGGAAACUCGGGCUAAUACCGGAUGUGCUCGCAGCGCAUCAGUGCAGCGAGUAAAGGAAGCUUCGGCCUCCGCAUUGGGAUGGGCCCGCGGCCCAUUAGCUUGUUGGUGAGGAAAAGCUCACCAAGGCAACGAUGGGUAGCUGGUCUGAGAGGACGAUCAGCCACACUGGGACUGAGACACGGCCCAGACUCCUACGGGAGGCAGCAGUGGGGAAUCUUGCGCAAUGCGCGAAAGCGUGACGCAGCAACGCCGCGUG
rnacentral:rRNA from 1 species